GAACGAUCUCACAUGAAAGAUUUACACCAUUGCUCUGUAAUGGCUGCUGUAAGCAAUGGCUACGUCUUCUGAGGGGAGGGACGUGGGCACGCAUUCAACGCGCAAAGUAGAGGUGCUGUGAUGGAGCCUGUGUUCCUGUCGGUGUCGCUAUGAGAGGAGAGAGGAGUUGCAAUGAUUUCAGAGCUUCUAGCUGAUUAUCUGGACACAACUGUGCUAACUAAUACCUUGUACAAAUGGUCCCAUACUGAGAGGGCACUGAACCAAAUUGGACCUUCCUGUGCUUUUAACCUGACAGGAAAGAUCUCUCACAGAUGUCUCAUUCAACCUCACACCUCAUACCUCAUCUUGCCUUGCUGUAGUGAGCAAAUCAACACUCCUCAUCUUGCCUUGCUGUAG